rnacentral:rRNA from 1 species
GACGAACGCUGGCGGCGUGCCUAAUACAUGCAAGUAGAACGCACAGUUUAUACCGUAGCUUGCUCCACCAUAGACUGUGAGUUGCGAACGGGUGAGUAACGCGUAGGUAACCUGCCUGGUAGCGGGGGAUAACUAUUGGAAACGAUAGCUAAUACCGCAUAAUAUUAAUUAUUGCAUGAUAAUUAAUUGAAAGGUGCAAUUGCACCACUACCAGAUGGACCUGCGUUGUAUUAGCUAGUAGGUGAGGUAACGGCUCACCUAGGCGACGAUACAUAGCCGACCUGAGAGGGUGAUCGGCCACACUGGGACGGAGACACGGCCCAGACUCCUACGGGAGGCAGCAGUAGGGAAUCUUCGGCAAUGGACGAAAGUCUGACCGAGCAACGCCGCGUGAGUGAAGAAGGUUUUCGGAUCGUAAAGCUCUGUUGUAAGAGAAGAACGGGUGUGAGAGUGGAAAGUUCACACUGUGACGGUAGCUUACCAGAAAGGGACGGCUAACUACGUG